rnacentral:rRNA from 1 species
AUUGAACGCUGGCGGCAGGCCUAACACAUGCAAGUCGAACGAGUGGCGGACGGGUGAGUAAUGUCUGGGAAACUGCCUGAUGGAGGGGGACAACUACUGGAAACGGUAGCUAAUACCGCAUACCAUCAGAUGUGCCCAGAUGGGAGUAGCUAGUUGGUGGGGUAACGGCUCACCAAGGCGACGAUCCCUAGCCGGUCUGCGAGGAUGACCAGCCACACUGGAACUGAGACUCGGUCCAGACUCCUGCGGGAGGCAGCCGUGGGGAAUAUUGCUCAAUGGGCGGAAGCGUGAUGCAGCCAUGCCGCGUGUAUGAAGAAGGCCUUCGGGUUGUAGAGUACUUUCAGCGGGGAGGCGUUACCCGCAGAAGAAGCACCGGCUAACGCCGUGCCAGCAGCCGCGGUAAUUC